CUCCAGUGAUGAGUCUGAGUUAGUGCCACGUGUCUGGGCCACUGAUCCUUAUGAUGGGAAUGAGGAACUGAGGAG
ensembl:snoRNA Small nucleolar RNA SNORD66